rnacentral:rRNA from 1 species
UACAGAGGUCUCAAGCGUUGUUCGGAUUCAUUGGGCGUAAAGGGUGCGUAGGCGGCGCGGUAAGUCGGGUGUGAAAUCUCGGAGCUUAACUCCGAAACUGCAUUCGAUACUGCCGUGCUUUGAGGACUGGAGAGGAGACUGGAAUUUACGGUGUAGCGGUGAAAUGCGUAGAUAUCGUAAGGAAGACCAGUGGCGAAGGCGGGUCUCUGGACAGUUCCUGACGCUGAGGCACGAAAGGUCAGGGGAGCAAACGGG